UACGUAGGGUGCAAGCGUUGUCCGGAAUUAUUGGGCGUAAAGAGCUCGUAGGCGGUUUGUCGCGUCUGCUGUGAAAACUCGGGGCUUAACUCCGGGCCUGCAGUGGGUACGGGCAGACUAGAGUGCGGUAGGGGAGACUGGAAUUCCUGGUGUAGCGGUGGAAUGCGCAGAUAUCAGGAGGAACACCGGUGGCGAAGGCGGUUCUCUGGGCAUUACCUGACGCUGAGGCGAGCGAAAAGUGCGGGUGGGACGAAACAGG
rnacentral:rRNA from 1 species